rnacentral:lncRNA from 13 species
CAGCAUUUCUAACGGCCAGUAGUGACAGAGGGUGGCACAUCAUUUAUCAUGUUAGUUACUAGCUGAAAUAAACACUGCUGCUCUGGGCCAUGCACUGGAUAUGUAGACUCUUCCCAAGUCUGCAGUGCUAUGAAUUCUGUAGACCCAUGUAUGUUAUCACAAAUCACACAGUGAACUUAUGCCUGUGAGCAUCAGACUAAUAAGGAGGCUUUGUUGCACGUGGUCUCUCAGAAACUCAGGCUGUUGGAAGUUGCACCAUCUUGUAAUUGCACCCAGUGGCAAAGAGCAACCAAAGAACCAAACAGUCUUGCUCUGUCACCCAAACUGAAGUGCAGUGCCCCAAUCUUGACUCAGUGCAACCUCCGCCUCCCGGUUUCAAGCGAUUUCAAGCGGUUUCUCCUGCCUCAGCCUCCCGAGUUGCUGUGACUACAGGCACGCCACCACACCCAGCUAAUUUUUGUAUUUUUGGCAGAGACGGGGUUUCACCAUGUUGGCCAGGGUGGUCUUGAUCUCUUGACCUCAUGAUCCACCCACCUCGGCAUCCCAAAGUGCUGGAAUUACAGGCGUGAGCCACCGCACCCUGCCUAUUUCCAAUUUUUAUAUGGCAGUUAUCUUACUGCUAUAGGAUGUUGCAGGUUGUAAGUUCAGAAUUUUAUGCCAAAAAAUAAGAAAAAUCCAAGUUCUUGUCAUUUCUAGUCACCAUAAUUUGUUUCUUUCUCUUUGUGACAGUCACGGUUGUACUGUAUGAGUUUUAAAUAAUUUUUCUAUGUUCAAGUGAUAUACAAAGGGAACUCCUGCAUUUUCCCUAUUCCCUGAAGAUAUUAAGAACUUCUAAAUGGGGACAAACAGAGAAAAAUAUUGCUCGUGGAAACUUGCCUAGGCUUGAUGAUGAGGAGGAAAGAGUUCUUACGGCUAAAACUAAUCAGUAACUGCGGUUUCUCAAAAAAUGGAAGAAUUUUCCACCAACAAUCACAAUGAGUGAGUGCCUAAUUGGACCAUCAUGGAAGAUGGAUCUGAGUAAAACCAGAUUAUUUAUUUAUUAGUUAAAUGUAGAAACUUGACUUCAGUAGCAUUUUGAGUGCUGGAAGUAUACAUAAUUCAGUCAGCUAAAUUAAAGUAUAAUCCAAUAGAAGUGAAAUCUAUUAUUGUUGUUCCUUCUACUGAAAAUUCAAAAGAGAAAAAGAAGAGGGGAAUAUGUU